GAACGCUGGCGGUAGGCCUAACACAUGCAAGUCGAACGGCAGCACAGUAAGAGCUUGCUCUUACGGGUGGCGAGUGGCGGACGGGUGAGGAAUACAUCGGAAUCUACUUUUUCGUGGGGGAUAACGUAGGAAACUUACGCUAAUACCGCAUACGACCUACGGGUGAAAAAGCAGGGGAUCUUCGGACCUUGCGCGAUUGAAUGAGCCGAUGUCGGAUUAGCUAGGUUGGCGGGUAAAGGCCCCACCCAAGGCGACGAUCCGUAGCUGGUCUGAGAGGAUGAUCAGCCACACUGGAACUGAGACACGGUCCAGACUCCUACGGGAGGCAGCAGUGGGGAAUAUUGGACAAUGGGCGCAAGCCUGAUCCAGCCAUACCGCGUGGGUGAAGAAGGCCUUCGGGUUGUAAAGCCCCUUUUGUUGGGAAAGAAAUCCAGCCGGCUAAUACCUGGUUGGGAUGACGGUACCCAAAGAAUAAGCACCGGGCUAACUUCGUGCCCAGCAGCCGCGGGUAAAUA
rnacentral:rRNA from 1 species